UUGACCUCUGGUAUGUCGAAUGUACAGACGUGA
rnacentral:rRNA from 1 species